GAUGGGGGCGGUUAGUGCUUAGGAAUGGCUGUGGGGAGCCACCCUGAAAGUGUGGUCUGGGGUGCGGUUCUUCUGGACAUGCUGACGUUCAUAUUCACCUUCAGGCGGGCCCACCCACUGCACCCGUGGCUUCUCACACUAGUGGCCACACGAGUCCCAAGUCCCCAGGGAGCCCGGCCCCCUGGCACACCUUGCUGGUUCCUGCAGGCAUCGGUCGGGGCCCCAGGGACUCCCUGGGUGUGUGUGUUUGAUGCCCAGAGAGGGUCCGGGGCAGGCCGAAAGCACUUUUCUUGUCCCAUUUACCCUGGUAUUGAUGCCCCACCAUUUGGCCUUUACUGAUAGAAGGUUCUAGUUCUUUUUCUUUCUUUUCUCCCUUUGGGUUGUGAUUUCGUACAGAUUGGUGAAAUUUUACCUGCAGUGAUCAGGUAGAUCACUGCCCAGCGAGUGGCCCUGGGCUUUCUGUGCCUUAGUUUCCCCACCUGUGAACUGGGACUGACCACUCGGAUGCCUCCACCCCAGGACUUCUGGGAGGAUUGACUUGGUGACCCAACCGAGUGCUUAUCACAGUGGUCCAGGGAAAGCAGCUGACAAGCCCAGAUCGGGGACACGCUGUGGGACACCUGGCUGGGCGUCCAGGAGGCUGUCAAGGUCACGAGAAACAAGGAAAGGUGGAGAUGUUGCCACACGCUAUGGGCACUGAAGGAGGUGAUCAGAUGCCAUGUGGGGCCCCAGGUGGUGUCCUAGGGCAGAGAGAGGGGUUAGCGCCAGAACAUGGGCACCACUGCGGUUGAGGCUGCCUCCAAAAAGUGGGGACUUGUGCGAACACCUGCCUCCCCCCCGCCCCCCGGCGGGCAUGGGCUCCGGGCGCAGGCUGACCCGGGCUGUGGGGCAGGAGGGCCGGCAUCCGUGCAGGCUGAGGAGCGGGCCCUGGCCCCUGGUCCCGAGGCUCUGCCUGGCCUUCACCCUGAACGCUUUUCCCUCUAAGCUCCCAAUGACGGGCACCCCCGUGGUGGUGGUCAUGGCCUUGCUCCUCUCCUUCCCUGCUGCCUUCGGAGCCCCAGGAGAAGGCCUGGCAUGCAGUAGGUGCUCAGUAACUGCAGGGCAUCGACCUGCCCGAGUCAGAUGUCUGCUCUCCCUUGCUGGCGGGCUCUGCGGAGAUGCUGCGGGGCUCAGGGUAGGGCGGCCCUUGCGAGCGAUUCGGGCGCUGCCGCAGUCAGUAUCGCAGACGCCCGAGCUCAUCCGUCUUGGAGAAUGGAGCAGAGAAGGCCAGCAAGCGGAACGGUCUUUCUGGGGUCUCUCCUGGCAUCGAUCCGUGUUCUGCUACGAGAACAUUUUUUGAUGACUCUGGCUUUCCGGUAUGUUUUGAGAACUGCUGAGGCCCUUGUUCCCAAUUUUAUUCUUUGUCAAGACUUCUUCAGCUGGUCGCACAUUUACCCUUUUGGCAUCGAUGGCCCACCCGUCCCUCGGGCCCCCCUCAAACAGUCACAGACACAUGGUGCUGGCGGGAAGCAUCUCUGUCCCUCCACGGCCGACAUUCCAGCCCGGCAUCAGCCAACUUAGGUGAGAGCAAGGAGCCUUUGUGUUUUGUGUUUUUCAUCGACAAAUGGGACCACGGAUGCUGGUUUCCGACGGCUUCUCUCAAGUUUCUCUCGAUUCCCUGCUUUCAGAGGGUUUCGUGAGUGUGGGUGUGGGGUGCUCCCAAGCCCUUUCCCCGGAGCCUGGUCCGGGUCCUGACAACUGUCUAUGUGGAAAGUGUGCACCGCCGUGUGGCCGCCGCCCCCUGAGGUCCCCCCGCCCACUCGCUGCCAUCACCGGCCUGCCUUCUGUCUCUCCCAGUCUGCUGUUUUUAGAAAUUUCAUGUAAUUAGAGUGAUACAGCAUGUCAUCUUCAGUCUGGCUUCUUAAAAGUUUUUGAGGGGUGCCCGGGGGGCUCGGUCAGUUAAGCGUCUGCCUUCGGCUCUGGUCGUGAUCUCGGGGUCCCGGGAUCGAGUUCUGCGUCGGGCUCCCUGCUCGGCGGGAAG